ensembl:ncRNA lncRNA:CR44221 long non-coding RNA:CR44221
CUUCGGAUUUGUAUGAGGAUUCGGAAACGGUUGUGGCAUCAUUUUCGCUUUCCGUUUUGUCGUUGCCGCCGCUAGCAUUUUCACUGCUACUCUUACCAGACGAACUGGGACGCUCCGGGUCGAGAAGCGAGUCCUUGUUAUCGCCCCCGGUGAGUUUAGUAGAGUCAGAGUCUUUGGUCGUUGUAGUUCCGUCAUCGUCCACCUCGUCACCAUCAUCGUGCUUCGAAUUAGCAUCGUCUUCGUUUCUGUGGUGGUUCCAGAAAAAAGGGUUUGAAUGUUAGUAGCAAUUUAAUGGAAUUUACUGAUCAUAUAUCAGAUGCAGGCCAUGCCCAACGCAGUUAAAACACUGAGAGAAAAUUCACAAAACACACGCACACACACACAUUCAGCGCAAUGUCAAUGGAUCAAUGCAUUCAAUGUGAGCGUUAAUGGAAGCCCCGUAGGUUGCGCUGUUGUAUCUGAGAAUAUUUCGUUGAAUACCUUAUCAAGAAAUUAUACGGCGAGAAUUCGAUGAACAAGCACAAUGAUUAUUAAAAUUAUUAAUGUGAAUUG